rnacentral:rRNA from 1 species
GCAUAUCAAUAAGCGGAGGAAAAGAAACCAACAGGGAUUGCCCCAGUAACGGCGAGUGAAGCGGCAACAGCUCAAAUUUGAAAUCUGGCCCCCAGGGCCCGAGUUGUAAUUUGCAGAGGAUGCUUUUGGCGCGGCGCCUUCCGAGUUCCCUGGAACGGGACGCCACAGAGGGUGAGAGCCCCGUCCGGUCGGACGCCUAGCCUGUGUAAAGCUCCUUCGACGAGUCGAGUAGUUUGGGAAUGCUGCUCUAAAUGGGAGGUAUAUGUCUUCUAAAGCUAAAUAUUGGCCAGAGACCGAUAGCGCACAAGUAGAGUGAUCGAAAGAUGAAAAGCACUUUGAAAAGAGGGUUAAACAGUACGUGAAAUUGUUGAAAGGGAAGCGCUCGUCACCAGACUUGCGCCCGGCGGAUCAUCCGGCGUUCUCGCCGGUGCACUUCGCCGGGCGCAGGCCAGCAUCGGUUCGCCGCGGGGGACAAAGGCGGUGGGAACGUAGCCCCCCCGGGGGUGUUAUAGCCCGCCGCGCAAUGCCCUGGGGCGGACCGAGGUCUGCGCAUCCGCAAGGAUGCUGGCGUAAUGGUGGUCAGCGACCCGUCUUGAAACACGGACCAAGGAGUCGUCCUCGUAUGCGAGUGUUCGGGUGUCAAACCCCUACGCGCAAUGAAAGUGAACGCAGGUGAGAGCUUCGGCGCAUCAUCGACCGAUCCUGAUGUUCUCGGAUGGAUUUGAGUAAGAGCAUACGGGGCCGGACCCGAAAGAAGGUGAACUAUGCCUGUGUAGGGUGAAGCCAGAGGAAACUCUGGUGGAGGCUCGCAGCGGUUCUGACGUGCAAAUCGAUCGUCAAACAUGGGCAUGGGGGCGAAAGACUAAUCGAACCUUCUAGUAGCUGGUUUCCGCCGA